GGGGAGCACCACAAGGGGUGGAACCUGCGGUUCAAUUGGAUUCAACGCCGGACAACUCACCAGGGGCGACAGUUGGUUGAAGGCCAGGUUGACGACUUUGCUGGACUAGCUGAGAGGUGGUGCAUGGCCAUCGUCAGCUCGUACCGUGAGGCGUCCUGUUAAGUCAGGCAACGAGCGAGAUCCUCGCCCCUAGUUGCCAUCGGUGGGAAGCCGGGCACUCUAGGGGGACCGCUGGCGCUAAGUCAGAGGAAGGAGAGGGCGACGGUAGGUCAGUAUGCCCCGAAUCCCCUGGGCUACACGCGGGUUACAAUGCGCAGGACAAUGAGAUGCAACCCCGUAAGGGGGAGCCAAGCCCCUAAACCUGCGCUCGGUUCGGAUCGAGGGCUGUAACUCGCCCUCGUGAAGCUGGAAUCCCUAGUAAUCGCGUGCCAACACCGCGCGGUGAAUGCGUCCCUGCUCCUUGCACACACCGCCCGUCAAGCCACUCGAGUGGGGUCCGGAUGAGGUCAGUUCAAGUUGGACUGCUCGAAUCCGAGUUCUGCAAGAGGGGCU
rnacentral:rRNA from 1 species